rnacentral:piRNA from 1 species
UACUUCGGAAAUAGUUAGGUGAUGAGAC